GAAACAAUCUAUAGCUAUUCAAAUUGCGGAGGUAUGUUGGACAAUUAUUCUUUCCGGGGUAUGGACAUUUAUGAGCCUUAAUUUCACUCCUUGUGCUCCAUGCAGGCAGCAUGUCUCAAAGAAAAGAUUAACAAGAUGUUUAAUGGUGAGCGGGUAAGUUGGGUUUUACUUUCUUCUUCCAAUCAUACAUGAACUUGAAUAAACCUACUCAUUUAAUUACCUGAUUUAAUGCUUAAUUAAGAGUUACUGUUCCCAUAGUUGGUGUCCAAAUAUUGACAUUUGACCUGUCAAAAAAUAAGGACUUCUUAUGAUAAGUUGAUAAUUUAUGGUAAAGCCGACAUACUGCUGCUAAAAUAUCCUGAUA
rnacentral:lncRNA from 1 species